rnacentral:rRNA from 1 species
ACGCUGGCGGCAGGCCUAACACAUGCAAGUCGAGCGGAAACGACACUAUCGAUCCUUCGGAUGCGUUAAUGGGCGUCGAGCGGCGGACGGGUGAGUAAUGCCUAGGAAAUUGCCUUGAUGUGGGGGAUAACCAUUGGAAACGAUGGCUAAUACCGCAUAAUGCCUACGGGCCAAAGAGGGGGAUCUUCGGACCUCUCGCGUCAAGAUAUGCCUAGGUGGGAUUAGCUAGUUGGUGAGGUAAUGGCUCACCAAGGCGACGAUCCCUAGCUGGUCUGAGAGGAUGAUCAGCCACACUGGAACUGAGACACGGUCCAGACUCCUACGGGAGGCAGCAGUGGGGAAUAUUGCACAAUGGGCGAAAGCCUGAUGCAGCCAUGCCGCGUGUAUGAAGAAGGCCUUCGGGUUGUAAAGUACUUUCAGUUGUGAGGAAGGGKGURWMGUUAAUAGCKKYRYMUCUUGACGUUAGCAACAGAAGAAGCACCGGCUAACUCCGUGCCAGCAGCCGCGGUAAUACGGAGGGUGCGAGCGUUAAUCGGAAUUACUGGGCGUAAAGCGCAUGCAGGUGGUUCAUUAAGUCAGAUGUGAAAGCCCGGGGCUCAACCUCGGAACUGCAUUUGAAACUGGUGAACUAGAGUGCUGUAGAGGGGGGUAGAAUUUCAGGUGUAGCGGUGAAAUGCGUAGAGAUCUGAAGGAAUACCAGUGGCGAAGGCGGCCCCCUGGACA